AUUGAACGCUGGCGGCAGGCUUAACACAUGCAAGUCGAGCGGAUCGGCGGACGGGUGAGUAAUACCUAGGAAUCUGCCUGUUGGUGGGGGAUAACGUUCGGAACCGGACGCUAAUACCACAUACUCUCAGAUGAGCCUAGGUCGGAUUAGCUAUAUGGUGAGGUAAUGGCUCACCAAGGCCACGAUCCGUAACUGGUCCGAGAGGAUGAUCAGUCACACUGGAACUGAGACACGGUCCAGACUCCUACGGGAGGCAGCAGUGGGGAAUAUUGGACAAUGGGCGAAAGCCUGAUCCAGCCAGGCCGCGUGUGUGAAGAAGGUCUUCGGAUUGUAAAGCACUUUAAGUUGGGAGGCGUUACCGACAGAAUAAGCACCGGCUAACUCUGUGCCAGCAGCCGCGGUAAUAC
rnacentral:rRNA from 1 species